rnacentral:rRNA from 1 species
GAAAAGUGGCGGCGGACUACCAUGCAGUCGAGCGGUAACAUAUAGUAGCUUGCUACUUUGCUGACGAGCGGCGGACGGGUGAGUAAUGCUUGGGAACAUGCCUUGAGGUGGGGGACAACAGUUGGAAACGACUGCUAAUACCGCAUAGUGUCUACGGACCAAGGGGGGCUUCGGCUCUCGCCUUUAUAUUGGCCCAAGUGGGAUUAGCUAGUUGGUGAGGUAAUGGCUCACCAAGGCAACGAUCCCUAUCUGGUUUGAGAGGAUGAUCACCCACACUGGGACUGAGACACGGCCCACACUCCUACGGGAGGCAGCAGUGGGGAAUAUUGCACAAUGGGCGCAAGCCUGAUGCACCCAUGCCGCGUGUGUGAAAAAGGCCUUCGGGUUGUAAAGCACUUUCAGUCAAGAGGAAAGGUUAAUAGUUAAUACCUGCUAUCUGUGACGUUACUGACAGAAGAAGCACCGGCUAACUCCGUGCCAGCAGCCGCGGUAAUACGGAGGGUGCGAGCGUUAAUCGGAAUUACUGGGCGUAAAGCGUACGCAGGCGGUUUGUUAAGCGAGAUGUGAAAGCCCCGGGCUCAACCUGGGAACUGCAUUUCAAACUGGCAAACUAGAGUGUGAUAGAGGGUGGUAGAAUUUCAUGUGUAGCGGUGAAAUGCGUAGAGAUCUGAAAGAAUACCGAUGGCGAACGCAGCCACCUGGGUCAACACUGACGCUCAUGUACGAAAGCGUGGGGAGCAAACAGGAUUAGAUACCCUGGUACACA